rnacentral:rRNA from 1 species
GUCUAUGGCCAUGCCACCCUGAACACGCCAGAUCUCGUCUGAUCUCAGAAGCUAAGCAGGGUCGGGCAUGGUUAGUACUUGGAUGGGAGAAAAGGCAAGAUAAAAAGAGAAUAUAUAUC